UACGGAGGGGGCUAGCGUUGUUCGGAAUGACUGGGCGUAAAGCGCGCGUAGGCGGAUCAUGCAGGUCAGGGGUGAAAUCCCGGGGCUCAACCCUGGAAUGGCCUUUGAGACUGCUGGUCUUGAGUUCGAGAGAGGUGAGUGGAAUUCCGAGUGUAGAGGUGAAAUUCGUAGAUAUUCGGAGGAACACCAGUGGCGAAGGCGGCUCACUGGCUCGACACUGACGCUGAGGUGCGAAAGCGUGGGGAGCAAACAGG
rnacentral:rRNA from 1 species